GUAAAAUACGUGCGCCAUAAGAAAGUAUAGAUAUUUUUGUUUGUCUAUUUUAUGUGUUUGCUGAUCAAUUAAAUUAUAGUCUGUUGUCGUGACAAAGGACUUUUUUUUAAGAAGAAGAAAAUAAUUGGUGUACUGUCUACCUUUCGCUCUGCACACGUCACGUUGGGGCGGCACUCACAGCAGGUGUGCUCUCUGGGUGCGAGAAGAAUAGAAGGAACAGAAUAGAUGCACCUUCCGUUAUUUUCAGGGUUGUAUCGACACAACGAUGGACCUUAGAUGCAUAGGCGGGUGUGUGCCGUUAUUUCUUCUGGCUAUUGGUUUUGAUGUUAUUGGUUUCAUUAUCCUGUUCAUUGGAAUUUUUGCCAAUUUGCGUAUCGAUGGCAGGUUUUAUGGCGAUUUCUUGAUUUACAGUGGUUCAAUUAUAAUUUUCAUAAGUUUGGCUUGGUGGAUUAUGUGGUACGUGGGAAAUAUACAGGUCUCAGAAGACAGCUUUGGAACAAGCUUAAUGAAAAAGAAACUGAGUUUUGUACAGUUGGCCAGAAAGUUGUCAGAGAGGCUUUCCAAAAAAUGCAAACCUGAACAUGUAACCACAAAGUAUGCCGAGGAAAACAAGGUUAAAGCUGUGACGCCUUCACCUGUUCACGUCGCCUCUCAAAUAACAUGGGGGAAAUCUUUCGGUUAUCAGAAUGGCGGCUAUGACUCUAGCUUGGACUCCUUUUCGAUGGAGAAGGAAAAACAGCCACCAGAUAUACAGAACUUGGAUGUGCAGACCCACGCUAGGGGUAAUGUUGAAAGGCUGUUCUGAUUGUUCUCCGUAACACUUUCUGAUCCCAAGACUACCUUCAACACUGUACGCUUCACGGAAUGGGACUACAGACAAUUCAGGACAUUAAUCAGCACUGGUCGAGACAUCAGUUCUUGACAACAAAGACCAUUUGAUCCUUAUGGGGUGAAAUGACCUAUAGUCCUAGGGAAAUAGACCUACUGUAGAUAUUGCUCUGAAUGCAUAUCAUAUUGUUUUCGUUUUUUUAUUUAUAUAUCAAUUAUUAAUAUAAUCUCCAUGUGAUAUGUGAACUUUUUAUGUUCAAGGAUCAAUAUUAUGUGGAAAGGCUAUAUUUUGUCAUAUAAACAUAUCGACAUGUUAAGAUCCAUCAUAGCCAUUUUCUAGAAUAGUUUCCGUCUCUAGUCUCAGACGGAAAUCCUAGAAGCCCCUGUCUGAACGGCAGGUAUUUGAACACAGACUCUCUUCAACCCAGACCCAGAAAUGCAAUCACCUGCAUUUACAAUUGUUGACACUACAUAAAAACAGUAGUCAGGCAGGUUUGCCUGUGCCACAACAAUUGCAUUGCCAAAGCAGGCCGUAAACAAAACGUUGUGUGGCCUGGGGCACUGAGCUUGGUUUCACCUGCAUGUUGGCAUUAAAUGGGCAUUUGGGCUAUACUAUUUUAACUGUUCACUGAGUAGGCUGAUUUAGUUUUUAAUCAUGUGUGCAAACUCCUAAAAUGUAUAUUCCACCAGACUGCAUUUUUGUGAUUUAUGUUGUGAUUUAUUUGAUAUUUUAUUUCUUAAUAUUCUUUAGAUUUCAGUUGCCUUACCAACACAUAGUUUUUUUUGUCUAACAUGACUGAUAAUGAGCGUGUGCAUAUCAAGUCAUUGUACUCAGGGCGUUGCCUGUCUGUAUGCUAAUUAUUACCUAAUCCUGGCCUGUUGACUCUGCUUUGCGGUCCUUGGUUGAAUAGGUAUUGCACAGAGGUAAACCAAACUCCCGCGACUGUCUGACUGGUCGAACAAGGUACUUAAAGGGUGAGGUUUUUCACUGCAGUUCCCCUUUCUGUCAUGAUGUAGGAAGCAUGAAAUAGUAAACAAUUGUGAAAUGCGUCCAGUAGGCCUACUGAAGGCUAAAUAUAAACUGCUUGAUAGAAUCACUGAAAUAUAUCUUCCCAACAUACGUUAUCUUUUCCAACACUGUUCAUAAUGUUAGAUAUUAAACAUAUUUGCUGAUGCCAUAUUUUUCAUAUCAAAUUCAUUAUUAUUUUAUACACAGAGGUAUGGUGCAUUAGAUUUGAUUUAUUUUAAAUAUACAUCCAAUGAUCUUGAUAAGCACCAAAAUAAAAAUAGUUAUCUAAUGAGAUGAUCCAUUUCAAGCACUGUAAUUACAUUACAAGUCAGGGGUUGCUAAGGAAUGAGGUUGGACCAUUUGGCCUUUAAGUUUUAAUGGAUCAUUCAGAGUAGUACAACCUGUUGUGGUUGGAUACCAGUUCUGCUGCUGUUUCCUACAAUGGAAGAAUUUGAAGGCGUGCUGAAAAUCAGAAGAAUGCCACUUGCGUUUUAAAAAGGUUGUGGCUAUAAAGGCCUCUCCUCAUUCUUGUAAAGUCCUCAGCCGGCAGGAACCCAGACUGCGUCCAUGUCCCUGUUAUGGAUACCUCUUCUAUGGGUCGCUGUGUUUUCUUUCUCAUCCUGGCUUUGGUCUUUGACGUUGUCGGUCUGAUCCUAUUUUUCCUGGGGAUCUUUGCUCCUUUGAGUUUCUGGGACUUCUUUGUGCUGUCGGGGCCCCUGCUCAUCUUCCUCAGCCUGGUCUUCUGGAUAUUCUGGUACCUGGGGAGUCUCACAGUGCCUUACGAAGAGCUCAUCUUGCCAAAGUGACACCCAAACAUGGUUAAAGGUGACCCACCUGACCAAUGGCUGGUCCCCCUGGACUGACAGCUUGACCCUCACAACUUUAAGGAGUUGACAGAAUUCUGGAUUCUGGGUGUUUGACCAUGUUUCUCAUUGGACUGUGAACCGGAGGACCUUGUUUUCUUUAAAUAAGGACCCUGGAACAACUCCAGUUGGAAGUGAAGAAUGGCAUAUGCACCUUAUUCUACCCCUAUGAUGUAGAAUGACAAGAUGUCAUGUACAGACAACCAGAAUUUCAUCUGUGCUGGGUUGAAGUGGGACAUGAACUCUAAAGCACUUGUGUCCAUCCUUAAAGACUGCAUCAGCACAUAUAUUUAACUCCUUUUAUAGUAUAUGUGUAAAUUUGUUAAGAUAAAUGUUUAUUUUUUUAUGUUUUAUCCUCAAACAUAUUAUCAUAAAGAGAGGCUUCAAAAUCUGACCGACUCAACAUUUUGAAUGACUCAUUGACUCAUGAAGUGCUUCGAGAGACUAGUCAAGGAUCAUAUCACCUCCACCUUACCGGCCACCCUAGACCCACUUCAGUUUGCAUACCGCCCCAACAUGUCCACAGACGACGCAAUUGUCAUCACACUGCACACUGCCCUAUCCCAUCUGGACAAAAGGAAUACCUAUGUAAGAAUGCUGUUCAACUACAGCUUAGCAUUCAACACCAUAGUACCCUCCAAGCUCAUCAUCAAGCUGGAGGCCCUGGGUCUCAACCCAGCCCUGUGCAAUUGGGUCCUGGACUUUCUGAUGGCCGCCCCCAGAUGGUGAAGGUAGGAAACAACAUUCCCACUUCACUGACCCUCAACACUGGGGCCCCACAAGGGUGCGUGCUCAGACCCCUCCUGUACUUCCUGUUCACCCACGACUGCGUGGCCAUGCACGCCUCCAACUCAAUCAUCAAGUUUGCAGACGACACAACAGUAGUGGGCUUGAUUACCAACAAUGACGAGACAGCCUACAGGGAGGAGGUGAGGGCACUCUGAGUGUGGUGUCAGGAAAACAACCUCUCACUCAACGUCAACAAAACAAAGGAGAUGAUCGUGGACUUCAGGAAACAGCAGAGGGAGCACCCCCCUAUCCACAUCGAAGGGACAGCAGCGGAGAAGGUGGAAAGUUUUAAGUUCCUUUGCAUACACAUCACAGACAAACUGAAAUGGUCCACUCACAGACAGUGUGGUGAAGAAGGCACAACAGUGCUUCUUCAACCUCAGGAGGCUGAAGCUAUUUGGCUUGUCACCAAAAACCUGACAAACCUUUACAGAUAAACAAUCGAGAGCAUCUUGUCGGGCUGUAUCACAGCCUGGUACGGCAACUGCACUGCCAUCAACCGCAAGCCUCUCCAGAGGGUGGUGUGGUCUGCACAAUGCAUCACUGGGGGUAAACUACCUGCCUUCCAUGACACCUACAGCACCCAAUGUCACAGGAAGGCCAAAAAGAUCAUCAAGGACAUCCACCACCCGAGCCACUGCCUGUUCACACCACUACCAUCCAGAAGGCGAGGUCAAUACAAGGGCAUCAAAGCUGGGACCGAGAGACUGAAAAACAGCUUCUAUCUCAAGGCCGUCAGACUGCUAAACAGCAAUCAUUAACUCAGAGAGGCUGCUGCCUACAUUGAGACUCACUCACUGGCCACUUUAAUAAAUGGAUCACUAGUCACUUUAUACAAUGCACUCUAAAUAAUGCCACUUUGAUAAUGUUUACAUAUCUUACAUUACUCAUAUCACAUGUAUAUACUGUAUUUUAUUCCAUCUACUGCUACUUGUCUAUGCCACUCGGCCAUCGCUCAUCCAUAUACUUACAUGUACAUAUUCUCUUCACCCCUUUAGAUUUGUGUGUAUUAGGUAGUUGUUGGGGAAUUGUUAGAUUACUUGUUAGAUAUUACUGCACUGUCAGAACUAGAAGCACAAGCAUUUCACUACACUCACAUUAACAUCUGCUAACCAUGUGUAUGUGACAAAUAACAUUUGAUUUGAUUUUUAUUUGAUUUAUUUGAAGAAAAUGAGUGCUAAAUGUACACCCUCCUACAUAUUUAUUCAUUGAAGUUAAUACUUUUAGUUUGGCUUUAUACUACAGCUUUUUGGAUCAAAUGUUUUAUAUGAGGAGACAGUAUAGAAUGUCAUAUUUUAUUUGAGGAUAUUUUCAUGCAUAACUGUUUGACCAUUUAGUAAAUGAAAGCACUUUAUGUAUCUAGUUACCCCAUUUGAAGGUUUCAUAACUAUUUGGACAAAUCCACAUGAAUGUAAAAGUGUUUAAAAAACAUAUUAUAUUCUUAUUUACAAUGAAAGUGACUCCAAAAUGACACAAUACAAUACAUUACUUACCAUUAAUUUCUAUAAGUCAAUAAGUCAAGGGUAGACAACUAGAUCUAUAAGUCAAGGGUAGACAACUAGAUUCAGCCGCAGGACAAUUUUGGUCGGUCGGGGGGGGGGAUUUCCUACUUUAAACACGUUUUUUUUUUACAAAAAACUUUGGGGGGCAAAAUAAAUCACUUGUGGGCCGGUUUUGGCACAUGGGCCACCUGUUGCUAUACAUUUAUUUGUCCAAGUACUAAUGUCAACUCCUAAUGGGGGACUAGACACAUAAAGUGUUUUCAUUUCUAAUCGGUAAAACAGAUAUGUAUGAAGAUACACUAAGAUAAAAGGUGACAUUUUCUGUCGCCUCAUAUAAAACAUUUGAUCUCUAAUCCAAAAUGUUGGAGUAUAGAAUCAAAUGAAUAGUUUUAGCUUCACUGUCUAAAUAAAUACAUACGGGAGUGUAUUAGUAGUGAGGCUGCCUGAAACUAGUCUAACUAGCAAUGUAGGAUCUGCUUUAGGAUGUGACAGUAGACGCACCCAACCAAGAGACAAACAAAAAGAGUAAACAUCAUUCUCCAGCAAUGACUAAGGAUUUCUAAAAGGACGGCGACAGAGACAAGUCUAGCUGAAUAAAGCAGGGAGACUACAGAAUCGUUUGACUGACAUAUCAACCCUAGUGUGCACUGUUUUUAGUGACAUAAAAUUAUAUUUAUGUGACAUGACAGAGAACACAAAAUAGUGUUAUAGUCAAACUUAUUACCUCAAAAUUAUACUGAACAAAAAUAUAAACACAACAUGGAACAUUUCAACGGUUUUACUGAGUCACAGUUCAUAUAAGGAAAUCAGUCAAUUGAAAUAAUUUCAUUAGGCCCUAAUCUAUGAAUUUCAUAUGACUGGGCAGGGGUGCAGUCAUGGGUGGGCCUGGGAGGGCAUAGGCCCACUCACUGGGGAGCCAAGCCAAGCCAAUCAGAAAGAGUUUUAUUACAUACAGAAAUACUCCUCAGUUUCAUCAACUGUCUGGGUGGCUGAUCUCAGACAAUCCCACAGGGGGAGAAGCUGGAAUGGAGGUCCUGGGCUGGAGUGGUUAAAUGUGGUUGUGAGGCCGGUUGGACGUUCUGCUAAAUUCUCAAAAACUACUUUGUAGGCGGCUUAUGGUAGAGAAUUGAACAUUAAAUUAUCUGGGAAUAGCUCUGGUGGACAUUCUUGCAGUCAGCAUGCCAAUUGCACGCUCCCUCAAAACUUGAUACAUCUUUGGCCUACUGAUCAUGCUGUUUAAUCAGCUUCACACCUGUCAGGUGGAUGGAUUAUCUUGGCAAAGGAGGAAUGCUCACUAAUAGGGAUAUAAACAAAUGUGUGCACAAACUUUGAGCGAAAUAAGCUUGUUGUGCACAUGGAACAUUUCUGGGAUCUUUUAUUUCAGCUCAUGAAACAUGGAAGGUACAUGUUGCGUUUAUAUUUUUGUUCAGUAUAGUAGCAUCUAUUGUAAGUACAGAAUAUUGCGCAACAGACGGUAUACAAACAUUCAGAAUAUUGAUUCAGUCAAACUCAAACAAGUAACAAUUAAAUGUGUGUUUGUGUUAGUUGCUGUAUGUGUGUAUACAAUGUGUGUUCCCUUUAUUCACUCUGAGUUGAAGUUUGACUAAGGAGAGGAAGUUUUCAUUGUGCCUAUCCUCUGCUUCUCGCCCCCUGGGAUUCCCCUUGCCCUAAUCAGCACUCUGGGCAGCAUUAUCUCCCUCUGACGCCCUCAUGGAGAGUAUUAUUAAUGAGUCCAUUUGGCUGUGGCCCCGGCCAGAGGAAAUGGAGGAGAGGCAUUUGAGCAGCUUCUCCCCAGGAGCAGUGGUAUGGAAACCACGCUGCUCAGAGCCUCGCGGGACCCUGGAUUUCCUGCUAAUGCUCGGUUUCAGGUUGUCAUGGUGGCGUGAGUCAUAAACAUCAGUAGCACAUUAUCACUUCACACUCCAGUGGCAGAAUAUUAUAAGGCCUUGACAUGUUGGAGAGGUGAGGCCUGUUUUACACAUUGUUUACAAUUAUGGGCUUGUACAUCAACCUACCACAAAUAUAUAUUGUAGCAUAUUCUCACACAGGUGAGGCAGUCUUAAUAAACCUGCGUAUCACUCUUUGGUAUACAAGCAGUUUGUAUACAAAUAAGUACAAUCUGUUACAUAAGAACCAUAACAAAACAGAAUAAUCCUUUUACAAAUAUUCGCUCUUGUACCAUGAAAUAUCAAAUAAUUUUGAUUGUAUGAUUGCCAAAUCUAUUGAAAGGGUCACUGCUUACUGUAUGUUGCCAGCAUGUAAGAGAUCCAUAUAGGAAAAAUAAACGUGUUGUAAUGAUCAA